rnacentral:rRNA from 1 species
UACGUAGGGUGCGAGCGUUAAUCGGAAUUACUGGGCGUAAAGCGUGCGCAGGCGGUUUUGUAAGCCAGAUGUGAAAUCCCCGGGCUUAACCUGGGAAUGGCAUUUGGGACUGCAAGGCUUGAGUGCGGCAGAGGAGACUGGAAUUCCUGGUGUAGCAGUGAAAUGCGUAGAUAUUGGGAAGAACACCAGUGGCGAAGGCGGCUCACUGGCCCGUAACUGACGCUGAGGUGCGAAAGCGUGGGGAGCAAACAGG